CCUCCAUCCCAAAAUUCUUGUCUUAUAUUUGUCUAGAUAUGAAUGUAGCUAGUCACAUUUUAGUAUUUAGAUACAUUCAUUUCUAGACAAACCUAAGACAAGAAUUUUGGGACUGAGGGAGUAUAUA
rfam:Hordeum vulgare subsp. vulgare, WGS project CAJW01000000 data, contig: morex_contig_754321